UGGGGAAUAUUGGACAAUGGGGGGAACCCUGAUCCAGCCAUGCCGCGUGUGUGAAGAAGGCCUUAUGGUUGUAAAGCACUUUAAGCGAGGAGGAGGGUACUGGUAUUAAUACUACCAGCUACUGGACGUUACUCGCAGAAUAAGCACCGGCUAACUCUGUGCCAGCAGCCGCGGUAAUACAGAGGGUGCGAGCGUUAAUCGGAUUUACUGGGCGUAAAGCGUGCGUAGGCGGCUAAUUGAGUCGGAUGUGAAAUCCCCGAGCUUAACUUGGGAAUUGCAUUCGAUACUGGUUAGCUAGAGUGUGGGAGAGGAUGGUAGAAUUCCAGGUGUAGCGGAGAAAUGCGUAGAGAUCUGGAGGAAUACCGAUGGCGAAAGCAGCCAUCUGGCCUAACACUGACGCUGAGGUACGAAAGCAUGGGGAGCAAACAGG
rnacentral:rRNA from 1 species